rnacentral:rRNA from 1 species
CCUACGGGAGGCAGCAGUGGGGAAUAUUGCACAAUGGGCGAAAGCCUGAUGCAGCGACGCCGCGUGAGGGAUGACGGCCUUCGGGUUGUAAACCUCUUUCAGUAGGGAAGAAGCGAAAGUGACGGUACCUGCAGAAGAAGCACCGGCUAACUACGUGCCAGCAGCCGCGGUAAUACGUAGGGUGCGAGCGUUAUCCGGAAUUAUUGGGCGUAAAGAGCUCGUAGGCGGUUUGUCGCGUCUGUCGUGAAAGUCCGGGGCUUAACCCCGGAUCUGCGGUGGGUACGGGCAGACUAGAGUGUGGUAGGGGAGACUGGAAUUCCUGGUGUAGCGGUGAAAUGCGCAGAUAUCAGGAGGAACACCGAUGGCGAAGGCAGGUCUCUGGGCCACUACUGACGCUGAGAAGCGAAAGCAUGGGGAGCGAACAGGAUUAGAUACCCUGGUAGUCCAUGCCGUAAACGUUGGGCGCUAGGUGUGGGACUCAUUCCACGAGUUCCGUGCCGCAGCUAACGCAUUAAGUGCCCCGCCUGGGGAGUACGGCCGCAAGGCUAAAACUCAAAGGAAUUGACGG